GUUGUUUUGGCAGAUUAGUGCGAUAGAUUUAGAAUCUUUUAAGGUAAGGAUUUACAGGCAACA
rnacentral:tRNA from 1 species